rnacentral:rRNA from 1 species
UACCAGCUCUCCGAGUGGUGUGGAUGUUUAUUGGGCCUAAAGCAUCCGUAGCUGGCUGAGUUAGUCCCUUGUUAAAUCCACCGAAUUAAUCGUUGGAUUGCGGGGGAUACUGCUCGGCUAGGGGACGAGAGAGGCAGACGGUAUUUCUGGGGUAGGGGUGAAAUCCUAUAAUCCCAGGAGGACCACCAGUGGCGAAGGCUGUCUGCUAGAACGCGCCCGACGGUGAGGGAUGAAAGCUGGGGGAGCGAACCGGAUUAGAUACCCGGGUAGUCCCAGCUGUAAACGAUGCAGACUAGGUGUUUGGACGGCCACGUGCCGUUCUAGUGCCGCAGGGAAGCUGUUAAGUCUGCCGCCUGGGGAGUACGAUCGCAAGAUUG